GAGAGUUUGAUCCUGGCUCAGGACGAACGCUGGCGGCGUGCCUAAUACAUGCAAGUCGAACGCUUUUUUCUUAUCGAACUUCGGUUCACCGAGAAAAGGGAGUGGCGAACGGGUGAGUAACACGUGGGUAACCUACCCAUCAGCGGGGGAUAACACUUGGAAACAGGUGCUAAUACCGCAUAAUUCUUUUCUUCGCCUGAAGGGAAGAUGAAAGACGCUUUUGCGUCACUGAUGGAUGGACCCGCGCUGCAUUAGCUAGUUGGUGGGGUAACGGCUCACCAAGGCCACGAUGCAUAGCCGACCUGGGAGGGUGAUCGGCCACACUGGGACUGAGACACGGCCCAGACUCCUACGGGAGGCAGCAGUAGGGAAUCUUCGGCAAUGGACGGAAGUCUGACCGAGCAACGCCGCGUGAGUGAAGAAGGUUUUCGGAUCGUAAAACUCUGUUGUUAGAGAAGAAUAAGGAUGAGAGUAGAAUGUUCAUCCCUUGACGGUAUCUAACCAGAAAGCCACGGCUA
rnacentral:rRNA from 1 species